UACGGAGGAUGCAAGCGUUAUCCGGAUUCAUUGGGUUUAAAGGGUGCGCAGGCGGAAUGAUAAGUCAGUGGUGAAAUCCUACAGCUUAACUGUAGAACUGCCAUUGAUACUAUCGUUCUUGAGUACAUUUGAAGUGGGCGGAAUGUGUCAUGUAGCGGUGAAAUGCUUAGAUAUGACACAGAACACCGAUCGCGAAGGCAGCUCACUAAGUUGUAACUGACGCUCAGGCACGAAAGCGUGGGGAUCAAACAGGAUUAGAUACCCUGGUAGUCCACGCCGUAAACGAUGAUUACUCGAUGUUGGCGAUACACUGUCAGCGUCUAAGCGAAAGCAUUAAGUAAUCCACCUGGGGAGUACGGCCGCAAGGUUG
rnacentral:rRNA from 1 species